UAGGGAAUCUUCCACAAUGGACGCAAGUCUGAUGGAGCAACGCCGCGUGAGUGAAGAAGGCUUUCGGGUCGUAAAACUCUGUUAUUGAAGAAGAACGUGUGUGACAGUAACUGGUCAUGCAGUGACGGUAUUCAAUCAGAAAGUCACGGCUAACUACGUGCCAGCAGCCGCGGUAAUACGUAGGUGGCAAGCGUUGUCCGGAUUUAUUGGGCGUAAAGCGAGUGCAGGCGGUCUUUUAAGUCUGAUGUGAAAGCCUUCGGCUUAACCGAAGAAGGGCAUCGGAAACUGGGAGACUUGAGUGCAGAAGAGGAGAGUGGAACUCCAUGUGUAGCGGUGAAAUGCGUAGAUAUAUGGAAGAACACCAGGUGGCG
rnacentral:rRNA from 1 species